rnacentral:rRNA from 1 species
GACGAACGCUGGCGGCGUGCUUAACACAUGCAAGUCGAACGGAAAGGCCCUGCUUUUGUGGGGUGCUCGAGUGGCGAACGGGUGAGUAACACGUGAGUAACCUGCCCUUGACUUUGGGAUAACUUCAGGAAACUGGGGCUAAUACCGGAUAGGAGCUCCUGCUGCAUGGUGGGGGUUGGAAAGUUUCGGCGGUUGGGGAUGGACUCGCGGCUUAUCAGCUUGUUGGUGGGGUAGUGGCCUACCAAGGCUUUGACGGGUAGCCGGCCUGAGAGGGUGACCGGCCACAUUGGGACUGAGAUACGGCCCAGACUCCUACGGGAGGCAGCAGUGGGGAAUAUUGCACAAUGGGCGGAAGCCUGAUGCAGCAACGCCGCGUGCGGGAUGACGGCCUUCGGGUUGUAAACCGCUUUCGCCUGUGACGAAGCGUGAGUGACGGUAAUGGGUAAAGAUGCACCGGCUAACUACGUG